rnacentral:piRNA from 1 species
UUCCAAGCAUCAGUCUCAGGAGAUGUGAAG